AUUUCUCUUGCCCCUUUCGUGUUGGGAGAGACUCCUAUCAGUUUAAUAGAUGCAUUGGUCUAUUUCUGCAGACAUUUAGACACAUCAGAACUUGAGUCCUUUGAAGUUUCAGCAGAGUGUGUGCUUUGAUUGAAAGGUCCUGAUCCCCAGGUGCACAUGAAAACGUCCGCACUGUCCCCUGUGUGGAUGAAUGUUGAAUGUUGUGGAUGAUUCCAUCCUCAGAAAGAUCACACCACACCAGGAGCCACUGCCAGCAUCCACAAGGAAACAGCACAGCCUGGUUCCCAACCCUGAGGGUGUCUCUAGAGCAUCACUCCCGCAACCUGCUGCCUACACUUUGCUUUCUCUUCAUGGCUCAGCAGUGGGCAAAGCUACCUCACCACCAGGACUUCUACCAGUUUUGACCAGCUCAAAUGCACCAGGAAAGAGAAACUGGCCCAGAUUUAUGGGUCUGCUCCUCUUGUGGGCCUGGAGGAAGCUGGCUGAGUUUAUUACACUGCUUCUUUUCUGGACUGAGUUUAUUAUUGUAUUUUACCUGACAUGGAUCACUGCAAAUGCAGAGGUGG